rnacentral:rRNA from 1 species
AUUGAACGCUGGCGGCAUGCCUUACACAUGCAAGUCGAACGGUAACAGGUUAAGCUGACGAGUGGCGAACGGGUGAGUAAUGUAUCGGAACGUGCCCAGUCGUGGGGGAUAACUGCUCGAAAGAGCAGCUAAUACCGCAUACGACCUGAGGGUGAAAGCGGGGGAUCGCAAGACCUCGCGCGAUUGGAGCGGCCGAUAUCAGAUUAGGUAGUUGGUGAGGUAAAGGCUCACCAAGCCGACGAUCUGUAGCUGGUCUGAGAGGGCGACCAGCCACACUGGGACUGAGACACGGCCCAGACUCCUACGGGAGGCAGCAGUGGGGAAUUUUGGACAAUGGGCGCAAGCCUGAUCCAGCCAUGCCGCGUGCGGGAAGAAGGCCUUCGGGUUGUAAACCGCUUUUGUCGGGGAAGAAAAGGUUCUGGCUAAUACCUGGGACUCAUGACGGUACCUGAAGAAUAAGCACCGGCUAACUACGUG